rnacentral:lncRNA from 1 species
GGGCUUCCUGAAGUAUUUCUUGUUUGAGUAUGAAAUCAUUGGGUAUGCAAAUUCUAUUUUCAAACCUUAACGAACUGUCAUCAUGUAUCUUGAAUUCAGAUUGAAUACCAGCUUCUACUAAAUCUUUGAUUUUCAUUAAUUGUGGAUCACCAUUCUGGACAACUUUAAUUCUUUCAAUAAGUAUUGGCUGAACUCUCAUGUUGGCUAAUCGUACUGCUGAGUCAUAUACUCAAAUAUCUAAUUCUAAUUUUUUUAUAUCCUCCAAUAAUUGACGCUGAUGUGUGAUUAAUAUAGCCAAAUUUCUCAUGGAUUUUCUUGUAAGGGUG